GGGCCCGUAGCUCAGCUAGGUAGAGCACCUGGCUUUUAACCAGAUGGUCCGGGGUUCGAAUCCCCGCGGGCCCG
rnacentral:tRNA from 1 species